GGCCUGAUGGUCAAGCGGUCAAGACGACGCCCUCUCACGGCGUAAACCCGGGUUCGAUUCCCGGUCAGGUCACUA
rnacentral:tRNA from 4 species